AGAGUUUGAUCCUGGCUCAGGACGAACGCUGGCGGCGCGCCUAACACAUGCAAGUCGAACGGAGUCAAGAGGAGCUUGCUUUUCUUGACUUAGUGGCGAACGGGUGAGUAACGCGUGAGUAACCUGCCCUGAGGUGGGGGACAACAGUUGGAAACGACUGCUAAUACCGCAUAAGCCCACGGAUUCGCAUGGAUCUGCGGGAAAAGGAUUUAUUCGCUUCAGGAUGGACUCGCGUCCAAUUAGCUAGUUGGUGAGGUAACGGCCCACCAAGGCGACGAUUGGUAGCCGGACUGAGAGGUUGAACGGCCACAUUGGGACUGAGACACGGCCCAGACUCCUACGGGAGGCAGCAGUGGGGGAUAUUGCACAAUGGGGGAAACCCUGAUGCAGCGACGCCGCGUGGAGGAAGAAGGUUUUCGGAUUGUAAACUCCUGUCGUUAGGGACGAUAAUGACGGUACCUAACAAGAAAGCACCGGCUAACUACGUGCCAGCAGCCGCGGUAAAACGUAGGGUGCAAGCGUUGUCCGGAAUUACUGGGUGUAAAGGGAGCGCAGGCGGACCGGCAAGUUGGAAGUGAAAACCAUAGGCUCAACCUAUGGAUUGCUUUCAAAACUGCUGGCCUUGAGUAGUGCAGAGGUAGGUGGAAUUCCCGGUGUAGCGGUGGAAUGCGUAGAUAUCGGGAGGAACACCAGUGGCGAAGGCGACCUACUGGGCACCAACUGACGCUGAGGCUCGAAAGCAUGGGUAGCAAACAGGAUUAGAUACCCUGGUAGUCCAUGCCGUAAACGAUGAUUACUAGGUGUUGGAGGAUUGACCCCUUCAGUGCCGCAGUUAACACAAUAAGUAAUCCACCUGGGGAGUACGACCGCAAGGUUGAAACUCAAAGGAAUUGACGGGGGCCCGCACAAGCAGUGGAGUAUGUGGUUUAAUUCGAAGCAACGCGAAGAACCUUACCAGGUCUUGACAUCCGAUGCAUAGUGCAGAGAUGCAUGAAGUCCUUCGGGACAUCGAGACAGGUGGUGCAUGGUUGUCGUCAGCUCGUGUCGUGAGAUGUUGGCUUAAGUGCCAUAACGAGCGCAACCCCUCUCCUUAGUUGCCAUCAGGUUAAGCUGGGCACUCUGGGGACACUGCCACCGUAAGGUGUGAGGAAGGUGGGGAUGACGUCAAAUCAGCACGGCCCUUACGUCCGGGGCUACACACGUGUUACAAUGGCAGGUACAGAGAGACGGUUGUACGUAAGUACGAUCAAAUCCUUAAAGCCUGUCUCAGUUCGGACUGGGGUCUGCAACCCGACCCCACGAAGCUGGAUUCGCUAGUAAUCGCGCAUCAGCCAUGGCGCGGUGAAUACGUUCCCGGGCCUUGUACACACCGCCCGUCAAGCCAUGAAAGCCGGGGGCGCCUAAAGUCCGUGACCGUAAGGAGCGGCCUAGGGCGAAACUGGUAAUUGGGGCUAAGUCGUAACAAGGUA
rnacentral:rRNA from 1 species